rnacentral:pre_miRNA from 1 species
CAAAGUGCUCACAGUGCAGGUAGUCUGGGCUUUUCUCUACUGUAGUGUGGGCACUUCCGGU